UACAGAGGGGGGCAAAGCGUUUGUUCGGGAAUUACUGGGCGUAAAGGGCGCGUAGGCGGCCUGUUAAGUCGAACGUGAAAUCCCUGGGCUCAACCCAGGAACUGCGUCCGAUACUGGCAGGCUUGAAUCCGGGAGAGGGAUGCGGAAUUCCAGGUGUAGCGGUGAAAUGCGUAGAUAUCUGGAGGAACACCGGUGGCGAAGGCGGCAUCCUGGACCGGCAUUGACGCGUGAGGCGCGAAAGCCAGGGGAGCAAACGGG
rnacentral:rRNA from 1 species